rnacentral:rRNA from 1 species
UACAGAGGGUGCAAGCGUUGUUCGGAAUUAUUGGGCGUAAAGGGCGCGUAGGCGGUGCUAUAAGUCUGUGGUGAAAUCUCUGGCUCAACUCAGAGUCUGCCAUAGAAACUGUAGUGCUAGAGUCCUGGAGAGGGUCGUGGAAUUCCCGGUGUAGCGGUGAAAUGCGUAGAGAUCGGGAGGAACACCAGAGGCGAAGGCGGCGACCUGGACAGGUACUGACACUCAACUACGAAAGCGUGGGGAGCAAACAGG